GACAGAUUCAGAAUACCCUGCCGGGGUUAUUACACCUUACUGUCAUGUAUACAGACCCUGCUGGGGUCCACUGGCAUUAUUUACACUACAACAGAUACCCUGCCGGGGUACCCCAUAUCAUACACCCUGCUGGGGUUGUUUUGGUACUUUGAGACAAUAAAUUGCACACAAUAAGUGCACACUACUGCAUAUCACACACGCUGCUGGGG